AACGAACGCUGGCGGCAUGCCUAACACAUGCAAGUCGAACGAGACCUUCGGGUCUAGUGGCGCACGGGUGCGUAACGCGUGGGAACCUGCCCUUAGGUUCGGAAUAACUCCCCGAAAGGGGUGCUAAUACCGGAUAAUGUCUUCGGACCAAAGAUUUAUCGCCUUUGGUUGGGCCCGCGUUGGAUUAGCUAGUUGGUAGGGUAAAAGCCUACCAAGGCGACGAUCCAUAGCUGGUCUGAGAGGAUGAUCAGCCACACUGGGACUGAGACACGGCCCAGACUCCUACGGGAUGCAGCAGUGGGGAAUAUUGCACAACGGGCGAAAGGCUGAUCCAGCUAUGACGCGUGAGUGAUGAAGGCCUUAGGGUUGUAAAGCUCUUUUACCCGGGAUGAUAAUGACAGUACCGGGAGAAUAAGCCCCGGCUAACUCCGUG
rnacentral:rRNA from 1 species